CCUACGGGGGGCUGCAGUGGGGAAUUUUGGACAAUGGGGGCAACCCUGAUCCAGCCAUGCCGCGUGUGUGAAGAAGGCCUUCGGGUUGUAAAGCACUUUCGGACGGAACGAAAUCGCGCGGGUGAAUAUCCCGCGUGGAUGACGGUACUGUAAGAAGAAGCACCGGCUAACUACGUGCCAGCAGCCGCGGUAAUACGUAGGGUGCGAGCGUUAAUCGGAAUUACUGGGCGUAAAGCGUGCGCAGGCGGCUUCGCAAGUCAGACGUGAAAGCCCCGGGCUUAACCUGGGAAUGGCGUUUGAAACUACGGAGCUGGAGUGUGGCAGAGGGGGGUAGAAUUCCACGUGUAGCGGUGAAAUGCGUAGAUAUGUGGAGGAAUACCGAUGGCGAAGGCAGCCCCCUGGGCCAACACUGACGCUCAUGCACGAAAGCGUGGGGAGCAAACAGGCUUAGAUACCCCAGUAGUC
rnacentral:rRNA from 1 species